rnacentral:tRNA from 2 species
GGGCUAUUGGUCUAGGGGUAUGAUUUUCGCUUCGCAAUGUUUCGUACAGAUGCAACUGUGAAAGGUCAUCGGUUCAAAUCCGGUAUAGUCCA